AACGAACGCUGGCGGCAGGCUUAACACAUGCAAGUCGAACGCCCCGCAAGGGGAGUGGCAGACGGGUGAGUACCGCGUGGGAACAUACCCUUUUCUACGGAAUAGCUCUGGGAAACUGGAAUUAAUACCGUAUACGCCCUACGGGGGAAAGAUUUAUCGGGGAAGGAUUGGCCCGCGUUGGAUUAGCUAGUUGGUGGGGUAAAGGCCUACCAAGGCGACGAUCCAUAGCUGGUCUGAGAGGAUGAUCAGCCACAUUGGGACUGAGACACGGCCCAAACUCCUACGGGAGGCAGCAGUGGGGAAUAUUGGACAAUGGGCGCAAGCCAGAUCCAGCCAUGCCGCGUGAGUGAUGAAGGCCUUAGGGUUGUAAAGCUCUUUCACCGAUGAAGAUAAUGACGGUAGUCGGAGAAGAAGCCCCGGCUAACUUCGUG
rnacentral:rRNA from 1 species